rnacentral:lncRNA from 1 species
CGAUCGAGUAGCAAUAAAUGAACGUAGGUAAUUCCCAAGAAGGAGGUCCUCUCAUUAUAUACUCCUAUAGUACAACAAGGUUAGAGUAAAGGUAACCACAAGAGCGUAACCACAACUGCUCAUGAUCUUUACAAACAAGGCAACUGUCCAUGAGAAUUUUCUCUAUCACAACAGACAAGUGUUUGAUAUGUUACGGGGAUGCAUCUUGGCAUCUUAAAAAAACUUAUUUGCUACUUGGCAUCGACAAACAUGUUUUUACUGUCUAUCUAUCUUGUUUUCUUUUCCCUUUUCCUUUGUGAAACACAGUCCAAACGCAGGGGUUCCAAUACACAAAUACAUAUUCACCUUUAUGAAUACACGCAUGUAGUCGCUACUUUUAUUUAUGAGCCCCUACGCCCAUAAUAUUCAAAUGACCAACUCACCCACUCUCAUCCACUUCUCAGCAUUGAAGGUAACUUCGAGAGACUUUAUCGGCGGAUCUUAAGAUUGAUGAAGUCACCACAGACGCCACAUAGACAACAAACACCCAUGCUAAGUUGAGAUCCUGAACCUAGGUUUUCCUAUUAUUUUUAUUCUUCUCAGGCAAAAUAUUCCAUUGAAACCUUUCUUUCAUUUUCGGAAUAUUAAUGUUUCAUUUAUUUUGUAAGUAGUUAUCAGAUAAUUUAUAGUCUCCAUUGUAUCACCGUUCAAUUUCUUUUGGUAGUUUGGUCCUUUGUGAAGCGUUUUUUAAAAAAUCUAAUGAUCACAUGGAACUGUUAUUAAUGGUAUCGAUUUCUUGUUGUUAACAUUGCCUAUGUUAUGCAUUC